GACGAACGCUGGCGGCGUGCUUAACACAUGCAAGUCGAACGGAAAGGCCCUGCUUUUGUGGGGUGCUCGAUUGGCGAACGGGUGAGUAACACGUGAGUAACCUGCCCUUGACUUUGGGAUAACUUCAGGAAACUGGGGCUAAUACCGGAUAGGAGCUCCUGCUGCAUGGUGGGGGUUGGAAAGUUUCGGCGGUUGGGGAUGGACUCGCGGCUUAUCAGCUUGUUGGUGGGGUAGUGGCUUACCAAGGCUUUGACGGGUAGCCGGCAUGAGAGGGUGACCGGCCACAUUGGGACUGAGAUACGGCCCAGACUCCUACGGGAGGCAGCAGUGGGAAAUAUUGCACAAUGGGCGGAAGCCUGAUGCAGCAACGCCGCGUGCGGGAUGACGGCCUUCGGGUUGUAAACCGCUUUCGCCUGUGACGAAGCGUGAGUGACGGUAAUGGGUAAAGAAGCACCGGCUAACUACGUG
rnacentral:rRNA from 1 species